rnacentral:ncRNA from 1 species
AAUUGACGGGGGCCCGCACAAGCGGUGGAGCAUGUGGUUCAAUUCGAUGCAAAGCACCUUACCAGGGCUUGACAUGCCGUGAAUCCUCCCCAAAGAGAGGAGUGCCUUCGGGAACGCGGACACAGGUGGUGCAUGGCUGUCGUCAGCUCGUGCCGUAAGGUGUUGGGCUAAGUCCCACAACGAGCGCAACCCUCGUGUUUAGUUGCCAGCAUUGAGUUUGGAACCCUGAACAGACUGCCGGUGAUAAGCCGGAGGAAGGUGAGGACGACGUCAAGUCAUCAUGCCCCUUACGCCCUGGGCGACACACGUGCUACAAUGAACGGGAUAGCUCGAACGGCAAAGACGGCGCACACUCUCCCAGGUUGGGGAGAGGUCACGAGUUCUAGCCUGGCUACGAGUCCCUCGGGCUGCUGCUUUCCACCCCCAUAUCAUCCAUUAUGUGGGGAAGUAUCGGGGUGGGUUCCCAACGGGUUAACUUCCAUU